CAAAAUCAAUCCAAAUGGAAUUCAAAUGAUUUAAAACAGGAGUGAGUGUAAAAUAAAAGGUUCCACUUUUGAAGAGACUUAUUCACACUUCAUCCUUCAUCAGAAAAAAACUGGAAAACCCUUAAGUUAUCACAGGAAGGAUUGAUGGCAGCAUUCUACUUAAGGUCCAACAUUUACUUUAAUUUAUUCGCAUUGUGUGGGCCUCUCAGAUAAGGCCAGGUUUAUUGCCCAUCCUAAACACCAUUGAACCAUCUUGAAUACAGCUGAAUGGCUUGUUUAGACAUUUUGGAUGAUGAAAAGGAAAAUAAGCUAUUUCCUCGAAGAACAAGUAUGCGUUGACAGUAUGAGAGGUGAACAUGGACAUGUACUAAUAUGGUUGGAUAAUAUUAUCAUGUGUGUUAGUUUGAACAUGAUUGGAUAAUAUAGUCAUGGGGUACCACCUUGGAAUAUGAGCUGUGCAAACAAA